UACCAGCACCCCGAGUGGUCGGGACGAUUAUUGGGCCUAAAGCAUCCGUAGCCGGUUUUACAAGUCCCCCGUUAAAUCCAGCUGCUUAACAGAUGGGCUGCGGAGGAUACUAUAAGACUAGGAGGCAGGAGAGGCAAGCGGUACUCAGUGGGUAGGGGUAAAAUCCGUUGAUCCAUUGAAGACCACCAGUGGCGAAGGCGGCUUGCCAGAAUGCGCUCGACGGUGAGGGAUGAAAGCUGGGGAGCAAACCGG
rnacentral:rRNA from 1 species